rnacentral:snoRNA from 1 species
CCUGCCACUGCACCUGACCAGUUCUUUGUUGGCUGGUGAAAUCCAGUGGUGAGAUGAUACUAAGCCCCAGCUUAGGAAACAGGCUUGUUCUUCAUGCAGAUGAUUCUGUGCUGAAAGCAUGACAACAGCC